AUGGAACAGAAGCGUCCGCCACUGUGCGACUGGACGGGUGUCAUUUGCAGCUCACCGAUUUCAGGGCGCGUCGUUGCCCUGAGAAUCCCCGGCCAAAGCUUGUCAGGCGAGAUCACCCCCUCGCUUGGAAACUUGACGUUCCUUCAGGUCAUCAGCUUGCGCUACAAUGGCUUCUCCGGCCAGUUACCUCCCCUGAAUCAGCUCCAAGAGCUGCGUGUCCUUGACCUGGAAUCCAAUUCACUCCAGGGGAUAAUCCCUGACUCAAUCAUGAAUUGUUCAAAACUACGUGUUCUACAUCUUUCUAGAAACAGGCUAGAAGGUCCAAUCCCCAAAAAAAUUGGUUCGCUCCACAAUUUACCAAGUAUAGAUCUUUCCAGGAAUAAUCUCAUAGGAGUCAUCCCAUCAAGCAUCAGCAACGCCACCAAGCUUCGACAGGUCGAUCUUCGAGAAAAUGAACUAGGGGGGAACAUUCCUGAAUCCUGA
rnacentral:rRNA from 1 species